UACGUAGGGUGCGGAGCGUUGUCCGGAAUUAUUGGGCGUUGAAAGAGCUCGUAGGCGGUGUGUCGCGUCGGCCGUGAAAACCUGCAGCUUAACUGUGGGCUUGCGGUCGAUACGGGCAUCACUGGAGUUCGGCAGGGGGAGACUGGAAUUCCUGGUGUAGCGGUGAAAUGCGCAGAUAUCAGGGAGGAACACCGGUGGCGAAGGCGGGUCUC
rnacentral:rRNA from 1 species